UACAGAGGGUGCAAGCGUUAAUCGGAAUUACUGGGCGUAAAGCGUGCGUAGACGGUUACAUAAGUCGGGUGUGAAAGCCCCGGGCUCAACCUGGGAAUUGCAUUCGAGACUGCGUAGCUAGGGUGCGGAAGAGGGAAGCGGAAUUUCCGGUGUAGCGGUGAAAUGCGUAGAUAUCGGAAGGAACACCAGUGGCGAAAGCGGCUUCCUGGUCCAGCACCGACGUCAGGCACGAAAGCGUGGGGGAG
rnacentral:rRNA from 1 species